AAUCCAUGGUAUGGGCAUUUUUGAAUUAGUGUCUUAAAACACUCCCAUGCUUUGUGAAAGUUUUCCUUUCAAACUGCUUGAACAUUGAAAUUUCCAUUCUUAGCU
rfam:Gossypium arboreum cultivar AKA8401 contig_774_1, whole genome shotgun sequence.